GAUGAACGCUGGCGGCGUGCCUAAUACAUGCAAGUCGAGCGAACAGAUGAGGAGCUUGCUCCUCUGACGUUAGCGGCGGACGGGUGAGUAACACGUGGAUAACCUGCCUAUAAGACUGGGAUAACUUCGGGAAACCGGAGCUAAUACCGGAUAAUAUAUUGAACCGCAUGGUUCAAUAGUGAAAGACGGUUUUGCUGUCACUUAUAGAUGGAUCCGCGCCGCAUUAGCUAGUUGGUAAGGUAACGGCUUACCAAGGCAACGAUGCGUAGCCGACCUGAGAGGGUGAUCGGCCACACUGGAACUGAGACACGGUCCAGACUCCUACGGGAGGCAGCAGUAGGGAAUCUUCCGCAAUGGGCGAAAGCCUGACGGAGCAACGCCGCGUGAGUGAUGAAGGUCUUCGGAUCGUAAAACUCUGUUAUUAGGGAAGAACAAAUGUGUAAGUAACUAUGCACGUCUUGACGGUACCUAAUCAGAAAGCCACGGCUAACUACGU
rnacentral:rRNA from 1 species